GGGCGUGCCAGAGACGUGGGGGGGUGGGGUGGCAGCGCGACAAAGGCAGGCAGAGGUGCAAGGGCUAGAGAGGCGGGCGGGCGAGAGAGAGGUGGGCGAGAGCCCUAGAGUCCAAGAGGCCAAGGGCGAGAGCCGGAGAGCUAGACAGGACAUGCCUGGCGUGCGCAGGGCAUUUACAACCGCAAGUCCUCCACCAGCUAUCGUCCUACCAAGAGUUGUGCCAAAAACUCGGAAUUUUCUAAUAUAAGGAGGUUGCUGGACCCCCAAGCCCCCGUCCCCCGCUCCCCCCCCAUGGGGGCCAGAAACAGCGGGGUAUUUUAACAAGCUACCUUGGAGAGGGGGGAACAAACUAAGGGACUGAUGCUGUCCCCCCCGCCUUCUUAAUUUUCUUAAUAAGGGAGCCAAUUUCUUGAAAAUAAAUCAAGUUUUUUGGAGCGCUGACAAAACCUUUUCACAACUGGCAAUUCAUUCGAGUGUCCAGGACGUGGCAGUGCCUCAAAGACCACAUUUCAGGGUGACUCUCUAUAUCCUCCACAAGAGCCGCAACCUCUUCUCCACUCUCUGGAUGAUGUAAUUGCACCCAGGUCCGGGUCUCUCCAGGUAGCAUGGUCAGGAACUGCUCCAUUAUCAGAUGCUCCAGGAUCUGUUCCUUUGUGCAUGUGUCUGGCUUCAGCCAACUUUGGCAGAGCUCCCGGAGUCUGACCAGGGCCUCGUGCGGCCCUGAAGUCUCUGCAUAGCGCAACUGUCUGAAGAGCCGGCGGGAGAGUUCUUGUUUAGGGCUGGUGUUCUUCAGCGGAUGAGAUUUUGGUUCCUCCUCACCUUCUUCCUUCUUCACUGUCCAAAGCCUUUCCGAAUCCAAACUUGUUUCAGUCCACUUGUCCUUUUUUUCGAUCAUCAUCUCCACUGAGCUGACAGACUCCCUGCUGUUAGGAUCUACUGAAGUUCCUAAACCUAAAGAUUCAGCUUCUCCUCAAGAUUAGAGCGGUGAAUUAUCUACCAAUACACGAGGAAACACUGUUAACACAAGAAAAUGAUCAUGUUUGAAAGCUCAGUAACGGUAAUGAAGAUCUAAACAGACAUGACUCUGAAAGCAAAGUUCCAGGUAGAAAGACAACACUCAUCACAAUACAUACCCCCUUCUGUAGCCCUGUGAGAUAGAGAGAGGAAUGUACACAGAGGCUGGAAAAGUUGGGGCAGAGUUGUGAAGGGCUUUAAAAACUAAAUUGGGUAGUUUGUUUAUAUUUCAUCCUAGAUGCAAUGAGAAGCCAGUGGGAUUUACUGAGUAAGGGAGUGACAUGGUCACACCUGCAUUGAAAGAAACUCACUUUCCCAGCUGUGUUAAGGACAGAAAGGAAUGGGAAAAGAACUAAGCAGAAAAACUGAUGAGGAAAAGUGUUAACAGUAGCCUAGAAAAGAAGUGAUAAGGGCCUCUGGGAGACAGAAUCAGAUGCUAAAGAGGUUAUGGAAAUCAAAACAGAUCAUAUGGAGUAAGUGAGGGUGGAAUUAAUAAUAACAUAGUUCCGAAUUUGGGAAUCUAGACAAAUUGGCGAUACUUUUUACAAUUCUUCUCAAACUUUGCUAAGAUAAACUCCAAAUUGAUAUUAAAGGGAAUAUCAUAAGCAAGAAAUUGAUAUUAUCCAAAUUGAUAUUAAAGGUAAUAUCAUAAGCACAUUAAAGCAGCAAGGGAAAAAAUGAUCAGCUCUAUAGAUAUGGGAAGAGUUUAUGAAUAAACAAGUAAUAGAGAGGAUCACACAAAAUGGGCAGUUUUGAUGACAUAAAAUUUAAAAGAUUUUACAUAAAUCCAGUAGUUAAAGAUUAGAAGGGAAACGGUUAACUGGGGGGAAAUAUCCUCAUAGCAAAUUUCUCUGAUAAUUUAUCAAGUCUCAUUUCCAAUAUAUAUAAAGAACUGAUUUAAAUUUAUAAGAAUAAGAGCCAUUCCCCAAUUAAUAAGUUGUCAAAGGAUAUGAAAAGGCAGUUCUCAAAAGGAAGAAACUCAAGCUAUGAACAACCAUAUGAAAAAUUGCUCCAAAUCACUAAUAAUCAGAGAAAUACAAAUUAAAGAAACUCCGAAGUUCCACCUCAAAUCCAUCACUUUGUCAAUGCUGACCAAAAAAAAAACCCAUAAUGGCAAAUGCUGGAGGGGCUUCUGAAAAAUAGGUUCACUAGCACAUUAUUGGUAGAGUUCUGAGUUGGUACAAAAAUUGUGGUUAUCAACUUGGAAUUAUGCCCCAAAAGAUAUUUUUCCCCAUCAAUAACUACAAGGCCUAUCCCCCAAAUCUCAAAAAAAAAAAAAAGAAAAAGGUU